GCCAUUUUGAGAGGUAUAGACACAAAGUGACCACAGAGAGAGUGUGCUGAGCAGCUAGAGAUAGGAAGCCCUGGUACCCGGUGGCUGGGAUCAGUGUAAAUGCAGCCAAGUCACCACAUCACCUCCCGAGGGACACAGCAGCUCCCAGUGUCUCUGAUAGAGAAGUGUCAGAUGGAGGUGGAGCAGAGGUCAUGAAUCUGCUGUGAGAGUCCAGCCAGGGUUUGCCCUGGCGGUGUAGAGGUACGCUCUCCUGUGCGGUAUUUUGUUAUAUAACUCCAGAAAAAUAAUGGAGAACAAAAAUUUGGAGGAUAAAAUAGGGAAAGAUCAAGAACCACUUCCUCCUAUUGCUGCUGCCGCCGCUGCUGUUGCUGCUGGGAGUCGAUCAUCAUCCCAGAGGGGAAGUCGGAAUACCACUUGUAUUACUUCAACUAAGAAAAUGACUGUCCAACAGUACUUUGCGAGGAAGAUGAAAUAUGACAGCAGUCAUCCUGUUGCAAAGCGGAUAACUGAGGCCUUGACAGCUACAAGAUGUUGGUGUUAGAUGUGCGUCCCGUAUCCGCCAUUAGUGUAGUAGGACUGCAGUGCCAACCCUAGAUGGGCCACAUGUUUGUGCCGCACACUUGUGUCACUUAGCUUAGUCAUAGAGCUCCCUCAUUGCACCUCUUUUACAUCUUUGCAUGAUAUGCUGUUUGGGGACUAUUUUUUGUUAAGUGCCAUCCUGCCUGUCACUGCAGUGCAACUCCUAGAUGGGACAGGUGUUUGUGCCACACACUUGUGUCGCUUAGCUUAUCAUACAGCUACCUUAUUGCAUGUGCUGGUUGGGGACUAUUUUUUUUUUUAAAGUGCCAUCCUGUUUGCCACUUCAGUGCCACUCCUAGAUGGGCCAGGUGUUUGUGCCGCACACUUGUGUCGCUUAGCUUAGUCAUACAGCUACCUCAUUGCACCUCUUUUACUUCUUUGCAUGAUUUGCUGUUUGGGGCCUAGUUUUUUUAAGUGCCAUCCUGUCUGACACUGCAGUGCCACUCCUAGAUGGGCCAGGUGUUUGUGCCGCACACUUGUGUCGCUUAGCUUAGUCAUACAGCUACCUCGGUGCAACUUUUAGGCCUAAAAACAAUAUUGUGAGGUGUUCAGAAUAGACUGGAAAUAAGUGGAAAUGAAUGUUAUUGAGGUUAAUAAUACCGUAGGAUCAAAAUUACCCCCAAAUUCCGUGAUUUUAGCUACUUUUAUGUUUUAAAAAAAAAUCAUCGAUAUCCAAAACCAAAACCAAAACCCGAAGGGGUGGUUUUGGCAAAACCUAUCCAGAUCCAAAACACGAGCAGGAAUACAGAUCCAAAACCAAAACACAAAAAGUGCCCGCUGCACAUCUCUAGUAAAAGGUGUUAAAGAGACAUGUUCAUAAUGUAGGUGGCAUUAGGAUCUUGCAAGAGAUAGUUUAUGGCAAAUGUACAAUGUGUGGCAGUUGUAGGAAGGUUCUGUGGGUAUACAGUACUUCAAUUUAAGACCUGGAUUUAACUGUUCCAUAAAGUGCACCAAUGAAAGAUUGACCAUACAUUGCCUGGACUAUGGAUAUACUUAUAUAUAUAUUUUUUUAAAUUCUUUAUUUUUCAUUUUGCAAAUUGAAACAGUUUCCAUAUAGUGCAGUACGUAUGUCCAAAAAUAAAACGUAGACAUUA